UACGAAGGGGGGCUAGCGUUGCUCGGAAUCAUUGGGCGUAAAGCGCACGUAAGCAAUCUGUUAUGUCGGAUGUGAAAACCCUUAACUUAACUGAGGAAGUGCAUCCGAAACUGGCAGGCUAGAGUACUAAAGAGGGUCGCGGAAUUCCCGGUGUAGAGGUGAAAUUCGUAGAUAUUGGGAAGAAACACCAGUGGCGAAGGCGGCUAACUGGUCCAGAUCUGACGCUGAGGUGCGAAAAGCGUGGGGAGCAACAGG
rnacentral:rRNA from 1 species